GAAGCAACGCGAAGAACCUUACCAGCCCUUGACAUGGCAGGACGAUUUCCGGAGACGGAUCUCUUCACUUCGGUGACCUGCACACAGGUGCUGCAUGGCUGUCGUCAGCUCGUGUCGUGAGAUGUUGGGUUAAGUCCCGCAACGAGCGCAACCCUCGCCCUUAGUUGCCAUCAUUUAGUUGGGCACUCUAGGGGGACUGCCGGUGAUAAGCCGGAGGAAGGUGGGGAUGACGUCAAGUCUUCAUGGCCCUUACGGGCUGGGCUACACACGUGCUACAAUGGCGGUGACAGAGGGUUGCUACACAGCGAUGUGAUGCUAAUCCCUAAAAGCCGUCUCAGUUCGGAUUGCACUCUGCAACUCGGGUGCAUGAAGUCGGAAUUGCUAGUAAUCGCAGAUCAGCGCGCUGCGGUGAAUACGUUCCCGGGCCUUGUACACACCGCCCGUCACACCAUGGGAGUUGGUUCUACCCGAAGCCGGUGCGCUAACCGCAAGGAAGCAGCCGACCACGGUAGGGUCAGCGACUGGGGUGAAGUCGUAACAAGGUAACCGU
rnacentral:rRNA from 1 species